CAUGCAUGUCUAAGUAUAAGCAACUAUACGGUGAAACUGCGAAUGGCUCAUUAAAUCAGUUAUCGUUUAUUUGAUAGUACCUUACUACAUGGAUAACCGUGGUAAUUCUAGAGCUAAUACAUGCUAAAAACCCGACUCCGGGAGGGGUGUAUUUAUUAGAUAAAAAACCAAUGCCCUUCGGGGGCUCCUUGGUGAAUCAUCAUAACUCGACGAAUCGCAUGGCCUUGCGCCGGCGAUGGCUCAUUCAAAUUUCUGCCCUAUCAAACUUUCGAUGGUAGGAUAGUGGCCUACCAUGGUCUCAACGGGUAACGGGGAAUUAGGGUUCGACUCCGGAGAGGGAGCCCUGAGAAACGGCUACCACAUCCAAGGAAGGCAGCAGGCGCGCAAAUUACCCAAUGCCGACACGGCGAGGUAGUGACAAUAAAUACUGAUACAGGGCUCUUUUGGGUCUUGUAAUUGGAAUGAGUACAAUUUAAAUCCGCUUAACGAGGAACAAUUGGAGGGCAAGUCUGGUGCCAGCAGCCGCGGUAAUUCCAGCUCCAAUAGCGUAUAUUCAAAGUUGUUGCAGUUAAAAAGCUCGUAGUUGAACCUUGGGCCUGGCUGGCCGGUCCGCCUCACCGCGUGUACUGGUCCGGCCGGGCCUUUCCUUCUGGGGAGCCGCAUGGCCUUCACUGGCCGUGCCGGGGAACCAGGACUUUUACUUUGAAAAAAUUAGAGUGUUCAAAGCAGGCCUUUGCUCGAAGUACAUUAGCAUGGAAUAAUAGAAUAGGACGUGUGGUUCUAUUUUGUUGGUUUCUAGGACCGCGCGUAAUGAUUAAUAGGGAUAGUCGGGGGCAUCUGUAUUCAAUUGUCAGAGGUGAAAUUCUUGGAUUUAUUGAAGACAAACUACUGCGAAAGCAUUUGCCAAGGAUGUUUUCAUUAAUCAGAACGAAAGUUGGGGGAUCGAAGACGAUCAGAUACCGUCGUAGUCUCUAACCAUAAACUAUGCCGACUAGGGGAUCGGCGGUGUUCUAUCGAUGACUCCGCCAGCACCUUGUGAGAAAUCAAAGUUUUUGGGUUCCGGGGGGAGUAUGGUCGCAAGGCUGAAC
rnacentral:rRNA from 1 species